rnacentral:lncRNA from 1 species
AUUCUUUCAAUUAAUUAUUUUAUCUCGUCCUCAUUCUUAGUCAUUAUGAUACAUCCAACUAAGGCAUCCAAAAACAUUCUCGUUUGAGUUGUGAGACCUUUGGUAAAAUGUUGCAUCUACUUCAUACUGAUCAUAUUGUGAUUUGAGCAUCUUCAAAGUAACAAGUUGAAUCUCUCUCAUGCAUCAGACAAUGAUUCAAAAUCACCUUGAUCAAAAUUUGAGAUUUCUACUCUUCUUUCUAUAAACUAAGUGUCUGUGAAAAAU